AUUGAACGCUGGCGGCAGGCCUAACACAUGCAAGUCGAACGAGUUGCGGACGGGUGAGUAAUGUCUGGGAAACUGCCUGAUGGAGGGGGAUAACUACUGGAAACGGUAGCUAAUACCGCAUACCAUCGGAUGUGCCCAGAUGGGAUUCGCUAGUAGGUGGGUUAAAGGCUCACCUAGGCGACGAUCCCUAGCUGGUCUGAGAGGAUGACCGUCCACACGGGAACUGAGACACGGUCCAGACUCCUACGGGUGGCAGAGUGGGAGAAUAUUGCACAAUGGGAGCAAGCCUGAUGCAGCCAGGCCGCGUGUAUGAAGAAGGCCUGCGGGUUGUAAAGUACUUUCAGCGGGGAGGCGUUACCCGCAGAAGAAGCACCGGCUAACUCCGUGCCAGCAGCCGCGGUAAUAC
rnacentral:rRNA from 1 species